rnacentral:piRNA from 1 species
UGGAGUGCAAUUAUUAACUGCUGGGCCC